AUAGCCGUCCCGGUGAUACUGGGUCUAGGGGGCUCGGGCCCCCCGUUCAAUUUUUUUCCUUUUGGAUCUGUGUCUAGUUUCUCGGCUUCCUGCCUGUUCGAUUGUUAUCUUUCCUGGCCACCGGACCUCAUACCCGAUAACGCCUUCUCUUGCUAAAAGAAAAUUGAAAGAUGGUUUCGGCUAUCACUUACAGAUGGGCCCGCGGUGCAUUAGCUAGUUGGUGAGGUAACGGCUCACCAAGGCAACGAUGCAUAGCCAACCUGAGAGGGUGAUCGGCCACACUGGGACUGAAACACGGCCCAAACUCCUACGGGAGGCAGCAAUAGGGAAUCUUCCGCAAUGGACGAAAGUCUGACGGAUCACCGCCGCGUGAUUGAAGAAGGCUUUCAGGUCGACAAACUCUGUUGUUAGGGAAGAACAAGUACAAGAGUAACUGCUUGUACCUUGACGGUACCUAACCAGAAAGCCACGGCUAACUACGUGCCAGCAGCCGCGGUAAUACGUAGGUGGCAAGCGUUAUCCGGAAUUAUUGGGCGUAAAGCGCGCGCAGGCGGUUUCGUUUCUUAAGUCUGAUGUGAAAGCCCACGGCUCAACCGUGGAGGGUCAUUGGAAACUGGGGAACUUGAGUGCAGAAGAGAAAAGCGGAAUUCCACGUGUAGCGGUGAAAUGCGUAGAGAUGUGGAGGAACACCAGUGGCGAAGGCGGCUUUUUGGUCUGUAACUGACGCUGAGGCGCGAAAGCGUGGGGAGCAAACAGGAUUAGAUACCCUGGUAGUCCACGCCGUAAACGAUGAGUGCUAAGUGUUAGAGGGUUUCCGCCCUUUAGUGCUGCAGCUAACGCAUUAAGCACUCCGCCUGGGGAGUACGGUCGCAAGACUGAAACUCAAAGGAAUUGACGGGGGCCCGCACAAGCGGUGGAGCAUGUGGUUUAAUUCGAAGCAACGCGAAGAACCUUACCAGGUCUUGACAUCCUCUGACAACUCUAGAGAUAGAGCGUUCCCCUUCGGGGGACAGAGUGACAGGUGGUGCAUGGUUGUCGUCAGCUCGUGUCGUGAGAUGUUGGGUUAAGUCCCGCAACGAGCGCAACCCUUGAUCUUAGUUGCCAGCAUUAAGUUGGGCACUCUAAGGUGACUGCCGGUGACAAACCGGAGGAAGGUGGGGAUGACGUCAAAUCAUCAUGCCCCUUAUGACCUGGGCUACACACGUGCUACAAUGGAUGGUACAAAGGGCUGCAAGACCGCGAGGUCAAGCCAAUCCCAUAAAACCAUUCUCAGUUCGGAUUGUAGGCUGCAACUCGCCUACAUGAAGCUGGAAUCGCUAGUAAUCGCGGAUCAGCAUGCCGCGGUGAAUACGGACCCGGGCCUUGUACACACCGCCCGUCUCUCCACUUGGUCACCU
rnacentral:rRNA from 1 species